rnacentral:rRNA from 1 species
GGACCCGCACAAGCAGCGGAGCGUGUGGUUUAAUUCGAGGCUACGCGAAGAACCUUACCAGGGAUUGACAUGACGGUAGUAGUGAAGCGAAAGCGGAACGACCCUUCGGGGAGCCGUCACAGGUGAUGCAUGGCUGUCGUCAGCUCGUGCCGUGAGGUGUUUGGUUAAGUCCACUAACGAGCGCAACCCCUAGUGCCAGUUACAAGUGUCUGGCGCGACUGCCGGUAUUAAGCCGGAGGAAGGUGGGGAUGACGUCAAGUCAGCAUGUCCUUUAUACCCUGGGCGACACACACGCUACAAUGGCCAGCACAAUGGGUCGCCAAGCCGUGAGGCGGAGCCAAUCCUAAAAAGCUGGUCUCAGUUCGGAUUGCAGGCUGCAACCCGCCUGCAUGAAGUCGGAGUUGCUAGUAACCGCAGGACAGCUAUACUGCGGUGAAUACGUUCCCGGGUCUU